GGAAUGCCUGCCUGCUUGUGUGAAUGGGAAAAAGCGAUUUGCAGGUAACACUGAGUGGGAACUGCAGAUGUUGCAAAUGAAAAGUGAAGUCCAACCUCUAAGAGCCAAUUGAUCCACAGAUUAUGACAUGUGUUCCCCCCCCCGCAUCGACGCACACUAAUGCAGGCGCUUGUACGCAAGAGCAGGAAAUUUGAAUUUGGUUGAAGUUUCAGUUCCUGUAAUGGAGGACGAGCGAGGGAACUAGCGGAGGAUCUGCCAGAGACCACACCCACUAUCAGCAAAUUGGUCCAGAACAUAUGACGCAUGCUCCUCUCCACCUUUGCACUCUACCACAAAAACCAUGCAUGAAAACAGUCUCCUAUUACUGCUAGGUGACAAGAAAGGUGGAGGGCAGCAGCUGAAGGAACAUGCGUGAAGAGGCUAUAGUCAAAGAAAGGGUGUAAGAAUGAUAGGAAAAUGUCUUAGCCACUGGGAAGAGUCUUCUAGCAUGCUUCCCCUUUCUUGCUGAUUGCAUCUCGGUGUAGUGCAAGGAGGCCAGGCAGCCUCUGAGAAGACUCUUCUCAGUAGUAAACACACUCCCCUUUCCUGUAUACCCGCCAUGGUUUACAUCUCUCCCUCUGAUACAAGAAAAAUGCAAAGCACUUCUAUGCCAAUAAUUCCUCUACUUAUUUUUGCUUGAAUUUCAGCUAUUUUGCUCAAUUGACUAUAUGUGUCUUUCCU